rnacentral:tRNA from 1 species
GGUUCUGUAGCUCAGUCGGUAGAGCAGGGGACUGAAAAUCCCCGUGUCGUCUGUUCGAGUCAGGCCGGGACCA